ensembl:lncRNA HAGLR HOXD antisense growth-associated long non-coding RNA
GUGCCGCGCGCCCGCCAGACCGCCCAGGAGGCGGCGGCUAUUGUUCCCCGCAGGGGCCCGGGGCGCCCUGAAACGGGGUCCACGUCAGCCCGCUCCCGAGCGUGUCCUCAGAUCUGGGGACCCUUCACCUGCCUCUACUACUGCAAAUGAUUGGAUAUUCGUCUGACUUGGCUCUUCCCUAAUGUGUGGAACUAAUUUUGUUCACUCUGUUUCAUGCUGGACCUGGCCUGAAAAUGGGCCCUUAUAUUGUCUUUGCACUUUCCAACUUGCCAAGUUUCUGAAAGAAGGACCAAAGUAAUGCCAAGAACUCCCAGAUGAAGAGGACCUUCCUUAGACCUAUAACAGAUUCACUACUUGACUUCAGAGGGAAGUUUCAGCUAAUUCUCAGGAAAAGGUCAAAACAGGCCUGUGACUGUCCCUUGAAUACUGAAGGUAUAAACAAGCUUCUGGCUCCUCCAGGUCAAGCAGAGGAACACUUUUAUUAGAAUGAAGGGUUACUUCUUUGUUAUUCAAACACACACCCACACACAUCCUCUGUAGUCUCCCUAAUGAAAAACCUCAACAGAUGGAGAGCCUGAGCU